AUGAUUCGUGGGACGUCCUGCCGGUGGUGGCGAGUCGAAGGCGUGCACCCGUUGUGGUUUAUCCACUUCGGUUCUUGCGCGCCGGAGGCGGACCCCGAUGAAAUCCUACCGCGGUGCUCUUCGCCGAGUGUCGAGGUGGGCCGGCACGUUUACUUUGAACAAAUUAGAGUGCUUAAAGCAGGCCUGUUGCGCCUGAAUACUGUGUGCAUGGAAUAAUGGAAUAGGACCUCGGUUCUAUUUUGUUGGUUUUCGGAACCCGAGGUAAUGAUUAAUAGGGACAGGCGGGGGCAUUCGUAUUGCGACGUUAGAGGUGAAAUUCUUGGAUCGUCGCAAGACGGACCGAAGCGAAAGCAUUUGCCAAGUAUGUUUUCAUUAAUCAAGAACGAAAGUUAGAGGUUCGAAGGCGAUCAGAUACCGCCCUAGUUCUAACCAUAAACGAUGCCAGCUAGCGAUCCGCCGAAGUUCCUCCGAUGACUCGGCGGGCAGCUCCCGGGAAACCAAAGCUUUUGGGUUCCGGGGGAAGUAUGGUUGCAAAGCUGAAACUUAAAGGAAUUGACGGAAG
rnacentral:rRNA from 1 species